AAGGUUCAAGCUACCGAUGGAGCGACUUCCCCCACAGCAGCCAUGCUGCCUUCCUGUCCGUGCUGACUUGCUGAGACCAGGCUGAGCAAGGCCACAGACAGCUGAAUCUGGACCAGCGCACACUUCCCAGGCUCCUUCCUGCUGGGCCCAGGCCCCGACUACCCACCCUGCCCUGUCUCACCACUUCCGCCAUGCUGCAGAGCCACCACAAGCUAAACUGCCAGCUGUGGGUGUCCUCAAGGAAAGCAAUGGUGCAUAGAAGUACUUCCAACUUAGAGGGCAGAAUUUCUGCACCCUCAGAAGAAACUUCCUAGAAAACAAUACGCCUUUUAUCUUCAAGAACACAGCAAAAAUCACAUCGAAGAAUUUGCAGAACUCAAAUCGGGGAAAAUCCUGUUGGAGGAAGUGUCAGAAAAAGCAACAGGGACAACCUUGAGGUCCACGCCGUCCCUCAGAGCAGACUAGUUACAGUCCAGUGCCUUCAAGGAUGCUCUGAGCCUGCUUCCAUCUGCACACCCAGACAUUUCUCCCUUGCUCCCUCAGAACAGAACCACCUCAGCAGCCACGGGGGACAAUCGGAAAGGAUAAGGCCACAGAGGCCUAGCUGGGCCAAGGCUGGAGCCAUGCUCACCAUGACAUGACCUUCACGUGUGUCCGUCUCAGGGCUGCAGUGCUGAAACCACAGCCAAGUAUCUGGAUGCCCCCUCCUGCCCAGGGAUGCACACACAGGGAACCUGUCCGUCACACGGGAACACAGAGAUGCCAGGCAGAUUCGGUAUCGCCAGGACCCUUGGCCCUUUCCCUGACAGGCUUCAAGUGGGGAGAACAAAGAAGAAGAAAGGAGCACUUGCCUCCCAAACUCACUUGUCUCCUCAAAAGGCCCUUCUUUCCCAGCUUGACCUUUACCAAACUACACAUUUCUACAGACUGUAGGAUUCAAGUGGGAUUUUUUUUUUUUUAAUCUGAAAAGUGAGAAGAGCUCGUUCGUUUGGAGACUAUGGAUUAAAAUGCAAAGCAUACCAUGUUCUCCUUGGAGAACACUGGCACCCAAGAGUUCUUGUUCUUCACCACAUAAAGCUCUGAGCUCUGGCUGGAUUAACUGGUAUCAAGACUGGGUAUCAAGAGAAGCAAUGGGGCCUCCAGGUAACGUUCUCAAGACUCAAGGUAGGAUGACACCUGGCUCUCUUUUGUUUGUCAUUCAAACAACGCUAUGUCUUCAACAACUCAAACACCUCCACUGACCAGACAGAAAGAGCCCUCUGCACACUUGGUCAUAAGAGUUUCCCAAGUUUCUCUC
ensembl:processed_transcript